UACGUAGGUGGCAAGCGUUUGUCCGGAUUUACUGGGCGUAAAGAGCGCGCAGGCGGUCGUUCAAGUCGCGUGUGAAAGCCCCCGGCUCAACUGGGGAGGGUCACGCGAUACUGAUCGACUCGAAGGCAGGAGAGGGUAGUGGAAUUCCCGGUGUAGUGGUGAAAUGCGUAGAUAUCGGGAGGAACACCAGUGGCGAAGGCGACUACCUGGCCUGUUUCUUGACGCUGAGGCGCGAAAGCUAGGGGAGCAAACGGGG
rnacentral:rRNA from 1 species